rnacentral:RNase_P_RNA from 1 species
CGAGUGGACCAGGCGAUCGCCGGUCGCCAUGGCGACGGGAGGAAAGUCCGGGCUCCGCAGAGCAGGGUGGUCGGUAACGCCGACCGGUCGUGAGACUAGGGAAAGUGCAACAGAAAGCAAACCGCCGGCAACCUGUUUGCCGGUAAGGGUGAAACGGUGCGGUAAGAGCGCACCAGCGGCCAGGGCGACCUGGCUGGCUAGGCAAACCCCACCCGGAGCAAGGUCAAACAGAGGGGAGGCGAGCACGCUCGCCACGGUUCGGCUCGGACCGUCCGACUCUCGGGUAGACUGCUGGAGGCGGCAGGCAACUGCCGUCCUAGAGAAAUGGUCGCCCCGCGCAAGCGGACAGAACCCGGCUUAUCGGUCCACUCGGCCC